rnacentral:rRNA from 1 species
AUUGAACGCUGGCGGCGUGCCUAACACAUGCAAGUCGAGCGGUAACAGGUGUAGCAAUACAUGCUGACGAGCGGCGGACGGGUGAGUAACGCUUGGGAAUCUGCCUAUUAGUGGGGGACAACCCGGGGAAACUCGGGCUAAUACCGCAUACGCACUACGGUGGAAAGCCGGGGACCGCAAGGCCUGGCGCUAACAGAUGAGCCCAAGUCGGGUUAGCUAGUUGGUAGGGUAACGGCCUACCAAGGCGACGAUCCGUAACUGGUCUGAGAGGACGACCAGUCACACCGGAACUGAGACACGGUCCGGACUCCUACGGGAGGCAGCAGUGGGGAAUAUUGGACAAUGGGCGAAAGCCUGAUCCAGCGACGCCGCGUGGGUGAAGAAGGCCUGCGGGUUGUAAAGCCCUUUCAGUGGGGGAAGAAAAGCCUCGAGCUAACACCUCGGGGUCUUGACGUAACCCAUAGAAGAAGCACCGGCUAACUCUGUGCCAGCCGCGGUAAG